CUUCAGUACUGAGAAUGUUCCCUACAUUUCAGCCACUGUUUUUAAAAUAUUGUUCAGUACUGGGAAUGUUCCCUACGUUUCAGUCACUGUCUGGUAAAUAUGGUUCAGUACUGGGAAUGUUCCCUACGUUUCAGUCACUGUCUGAUAAAUAUGGUUCAGUACUGAGAAUGUUCCCUAUGUUUCAGGCACUGUCUGGUAAAUAUGGUUCAGUACUGGGAAUGUUCCCUACGUUUCAGUCACUGUCUGGUAAAUAUGGUUCAGUACUGGGAAUGUUCCCUACGUUUCAGUCACUGUCUGGUAAAUAUGGUUCAGUACUGGGAAUGUUCCCUACGUUUCAGUCACUGUCUGGUAAAUAUGGUUCAGUACUGGGAAUGUUCCCUAUGUUUCAGUCAGUACUGGGAAUGUUCCCUAUGUUUCAGUCAGUACUGGGAAUGUUCCCUAUGUUUCAGUCAGUACUGGGAAUGUUCCCUAUGUUUCAGUCAGUACUGGGAAUGUUCCCUACGUUUCAGUCAGUGUCUGGUAAAUAUGGUUCUGUACUGGGAAUGUUCCCUACGUUUCAGUCACUGUCUGGUAAAUAUGGUUCUGUACUGGGAAUGUUCCCUACGUUUCAGUCACUGUCUGGUAAAUAUGAUUCAGUACUGGGAAUGUUCCCUACGUUUCAGUCACUGUCUGGUAAAUAUGAUUCAGUACUGGGAAUGUUCCCUACGUUUCAGUCAGUACUGGGAAUGUU
rnacentral:lncRNA from 1 species